UACGUAGGUGGCGAGCGUUGUCCGGAUUUACUGGGCGUAAAGGGCUCGUAGGUGGCCAACUAAGUCAGACGUGAAAUCCCUCGGCUUAACCGGGGAACUGCGUCUGAUACUGGAUGGCUUGAGUUCGGGAGAGGGAUGCGGAAUUCCAGGUGUAGCGGUGAAAUGCGUAGAUAUCUGGAGGAACACCGGUGGCGAAGGCGGCAUCCUGGACCGAUACUGACGCUGAGGAGCGAAAGCCAGGGGAGCAAACGGG
rnacentral:rRNA from 1 species